CUUCUGGUUCUCAGGCCUGUGGAUAAGAAUGGUUUACAUCACUGGUGUUCCUGGUUCUCAGGCUUGCGCACAGCAGAUCAUGGGACUUCUCGACCUCCAUAAUUGUGGCAGCAAACCACAGAAACAGUAACACGAGCUGACUCUGAGUAUAGUAGUAUUUGAAGGUAACUAUGCAGGCCAAUCUAGAAGCGAUGACUUAUGGAUAUUCUUAAUGAUCAAAGUAGCAACGUAAUGUUUUACCAGACAUCACAGAUACUCCACAGAGAAAGGAUGAUAUACCAGUUCACUUAAGAAGAUCAUGCAAUUCUAGUAUCUAGUCAUACCAUAACAAAACUGUUGUGUAGUAGCUACAGUUUCAUUUGAAUCUAAGAUAGCAUUCUCG